UGUAGGGGUGUGGGUGUUGAUAAGAACACAGUACCUGCUGGCAGCUGCUCCUGCUGGCUGCACCCCCAGUUGACGCAGAAACUUAUUGUCCUCAUGUGUCCUUUUUUCCCUCACAUUCCCCAGUCCAUAGGGGACAGGAACCCGCAAUCUGCAAGACCGGGGUCCUGAUCCCAUCAACACCACUACCAUCCACAGAGAUCACAGUAGCGAUUGCUGUCUUUAGCACCACCAGGACAAAUGUCAGUCACAACUAUGACCAUGCCCACCACCCUCACCUCACUAGCAUCAUUACCUCGACCACGUGAAUAUUUGAUGUUUCACUAUUGCUGUUGGUAGCCUUCACCGCCAUCACCAGCCUCACCGUCAUCACCAGCCCCACCAUUACUCCAUCACCUCACUGACAUCAUUGCCACUACCAUUGUGACAUCACCAUUGUUAUCAUCGUUAACUUUACUGCAUCAUCAUCACCAUCACAAUCACCAUCAUCACCCUCAUCACCAGUUUAAUCUCCAGUUCUAUGUCUAUAAACCAAACUUUCACCCCCAACUCUACCCGUCCCCAAUGUUGUCCCGGUCAUAAUGGUGACCACCAUCAUUCUGAGUCCCACAUCUCCUAGGGCGAGGCAGUUCUAAUGAUGGCAGGUGGACGAUGGCAGAGAUGGCAGAGACUCAGGGUCACUUCUGACAAGGUUGCUAAAAAGGGUAGCCUGGUACUGAGAGGCUAGGACAGUCAAGUCACACAAGGAGGGCCCAGGAAGGUCUCUCUAGAGGCCCCUCCAUUUGGGACUCCAAAAGAAAAAAGUGCCUUCUGGUGGUAGCAGCAGCUAAGGAUGGUGCUGGGGCCCUCUGGAAAGACACCCACUGGGGGAUCAUCCUGGAACUGAUGCCAGCAGAGCAGAGUUGCAAACUGAGUUGCAAGCCCUUCCUGACCCGUGGUAGAGCAGCAGCAUCCUGUAGGCAUCCUGAAUCUAGUUCAUCACUACAGAGAGGCUCAUGACCGUUCUUGCCAGGCAUCAGGAGCACAGCGCUCCACAAAGCUGCAGCAGAGCAAAGAGACCUGAGAGAGAUCCAUGGAAAGGCUCCUGUCCCCACAAGGGUUCUGAGUCAAGGCAACACUCACUACGGACUCUCCUUCAGAAUGUGGUGAGGACAGACAGGGACAGGGAGGUUACAGAGCUGGCUGUGGGUGCUCGGUCACUGCUUGAGGACAGUGGGUCUCCACAUGUCCCUCAGGGCCAAUGAUCUGCAUCUUGAAUCCAUUUCAUAUUGAGGUCUGAAGGGUUCUGUCUGGAGAGGUCCACGCCAGGUCUGUGCAGUCCGAGGGUUUCGGAAAGGAGGGACCUCCUAGCUUCCCAGCCAGACUCCUUGUGUGGCUUAGGCUGCCCUCUGCUGGAAGUUCUGGGAAAUGCAAGAACGCUGAAGCUGGGCCGGCUUCUGGUGAUUUGCUUAGGUGACUCAGGGGCCAGGGAGUCGGAUACUCCUGAGCUGGAGAACUGAGUUAAGUCCAGCCUCAGAGGACCAUGCGGAGGCCAGGCACCCAGGGCGGGGCAGGGCAGGACAGGACAGGAUAGGACGAGAGUUGCCUACCUACCACUGAAGUGGAGCCGGACUGCUACAGAAAAAUAAAAUAAUAAAAUAAAAUAAAAUGAAAUAUAAAAGUCUACAAA